AUGGGACGCCGCACGCACGCCGUCCAGGCGGCCGCGCUGCUGCUCGCCUUCCUCCAUCUGCACGCGGCCGCGGCCGCCGGCCCGCCCUUCUCCUGCGGCGCGGCGUCGGGCGCGCCGUACUGCGACCGGAAGCUGCCAAUGGAGCGGCGGGCGGCGGACCUGGUGUCGAAGCUGUCGCUGGAGGAGAAGAUCUCGCAGCUGGGCGACGAGUCGCCGGCGGUGGCCCGGCUGGGCGUUCCGGCGUACAAGUGGUGGUCGGAGGCGCUGCACGGCGUGGCGUGGAGCAAGGGCAUGCACCUGGACGGCCCGCUCCGCGCCGCCACCAGCUUCCCGCAGGUCAUCCUCACCGCCGCGUCCUUCAACCCACACCUCUGGUACCGCAUCGGCCAGGUGAUCGGCAGGGAGGCGCGGGGCGUGUACAACAACGGGCAGGCGGAGGGGCUGACCUUGUGGGCGCCCAACAUCAACGUGUUCCGGGACCCGCGGUGGGGCCGGGGCCAGGAGACCCCCGGCGAGGACCCGGCCAUGACGGGCAAGUACGCCGCCGUGUUCGUCCGCGGCGUGCAGGGCCACGGCAUGUCCGGCGCCAUCAACUCCUCCGACCUGGAGGCCUCCGCCUGCUGCAAGCACUUCACCGCCUACGACCUCGACAACUGGAAGGGCGUCACCCGCUUCGCCUUCGACGCAAAGGUGACGGAGCAGGACCUGGCGGACACGUACAACCCGCCGUUCAAGAGCUGCGUGGAGGACGGCGGCGCCAGCGGCAUCAUGUGCUCCUACAACCGCGUCAAUGGCGUGCCCACCUGCGCCGACCACAACCUCCUCUCCAAGACCGCCAGAGGCGACUGGAGAUUCAACGGAUACAUCACGUCGGACUGCGACGCCGUGGCCAUCAUCCACGACGUCCAGGGGUAUGCCAAGGCGCCAGAGGAUGCGGUGGCAGAUGUCCUCAAGGCCGGUAUGGACGUGAACUGCGGCGGCUACAUCCAGACGCACGGCGUGUCGGCGUACCGGCAGGGCAAGAUCACGGGGGAGGACAUCGACAGGGCCCUCCGCAACCUCUUCGCCAUCCGGAUGCGGCUGGGCCUCUUCAACGGCAACCCCAAGUACAACCGGUACGGCAACAUCGGCGCCGGCCAGGUGUGCAGCAAGGAGCACCAGGACCUGGCCCUGCAGGCGGCGCAGGACGGCAUCGUCCUGCUCAAGAACCACGCCGCCGCGCUGCCCCUCUCCAAGUCCAGGCUCUCCUCCUCCUCCAUCGCCGUCAUCGGGCCCAACGGCAACAACGCGUCGCUGCUGCUCGGCAACUACUUCGGCCCGCCGUGCAUCUCCGUCACGCCGUUCCAGGCGCUGCAGGGGUACGUCAAGGACGCCCGGUUCGUCCAGGGAUGCAACGCCGCCGUCUGCAACGUGUCCGACAUCGGGGAGGCGGUGCGCGCGGCCGGCUCGGCGGACUACGUCGUGCUGUUCAUGGGGCUGGAUCAGGACCAGGAGAAGGAGGAGGUGGAUAGGCUGGACCUGGGGCUCCCCGGGAUGCAGGAGAGCCUUGUCAACAAGGUUGCCGACGCGGCGAAGAAGCCGGUGAUCUUGGUGCUGCUUUGCGGUGGACCGGUGGACGUGACGUUCGCCAAGAACAAUCCUAAGAUCGGCGCCAUUGUCUGGGCUGGUUACCCUGGCCAGGCCGGUGGCAUCGCCAUUGCCCAGGUCCUCUUCGGCGACCACAACCCCGGUGGGAGGCUGCCGGUGACAUGGUACCCCAAGGAGUUCACGGCGGUGCCGAUGACGGACAUGCGGAUGCGCGCCGACCCGUCCACGGGCUACCCGGGACGCACCUACAGGUUCUACAAGGGCAAGACCGUGUACAACUUCGGCUACGGCCUGAGCUACUCCAACUACUCCCACCGGUUCGCGUCCAAGGGCACGAGGCCGCCGUCCACGAGAAGCGGCAUCGAGGGCCUCAAGGCGACGGCGUCGGCGGCGGGCACGGUGAGCUACGACGUGGAGGAGAUGGGCGCGGAGGCGUGCGACAGGCUCCGGUUCCCGGCGGUGGUGAGGGUGCAGAACCACGGGCCCAUGGACGGGAGGCACCCGGUGCUGCUGUUCCUCCGGUGGCCGAACGCGACGGACGGGCGGCCCGCGAGCCAGCUCAUCGGGUUCCAGAGCGUGCACCUCAAGGCGGACGAGGCCGCGCACGUGGAGUUCGAGGUGAGCCCCUGCAAGCACUUGAGCAGGGCCGCGGAGGACGGCCGCAAGGUGAUCGACCAGGGGUCGCACUUCCUCAAGGUGGGCGACGACGAGUUCGAGUUGAGCUUCAUGGCCUGA
rnacentral:rRNA from 1 species